UACAGAGGUCCCAAGCGUUAGGCGGAAUCACUGGGCUUAAAGCGCGUGUAGGCGGAUCCGUAAGUGCCUUGUGAAAUCCCACGGCUUAACCGUGGAACGGCUGGGCAUACUGCGGGUCUUGAGCCAUCUAGGGGCCUGCGGAACAAGCGGUGGAGCGGUGAAAUGCGUAGAGAUCGGGAAGAACAUCGGUGGCGAAAGCGCUCUACUGGACCGCAACUGACACUCAGGGACGAAAGCUAGGGGAGCGAACAGG
rnacentral:rRNA from 1 species